rnacentral:rRNA from 1 species
ACAGCAGUCGCCACGGUAAUACGUAGGGUGCGAGCGUUGUCCGGAAUUAUUGGGCGUAAAGGGCUCGUAGGCGGUUUGUCGCGUCGGGAGUGAAAACCCAGGGCUUAACUCUGGGCUGGCUUUCGAUACGGGCAGACUAGAGGUAUGCAGGGGAAAACGGAAUUCCUGGUGUAGCGGUGAAAUGCGCAGAUAUCAGGAGGAACACCGGUGGCGAAGGCGGUUCUCUGGGCAUUACCUGACGCUGAGGAGCGAAAGUGUGGGGAGCGAACAGGAUUAGAUACCCGAGUAGUCCCUGUCUCUUAUAC